rnacentral:rRNA from 1 species
ACGGAAGGCAGCAGUGGGGAAUAUUGGGCAAUGGGGGAAACCCUGACCCAGCAACGCCGCGUGAAGGAAGAAGGCCUUCGGGUUGUAAACUUCUUUUACCAGGGGCGAUAAUGACGGUACCUGGAGAAAAAGCAACGGCUAACUACGUGCCAGCAGCCGCGGUAAUACGUAGGUUGCAAGCGUUGUCCGGAUUUACUGGGUGUAAAGGGCGUGUAGGCGGAGCUGCAAGUCAGAUGUGAAAUCCCGGGGCUCAACCCCGGAACUGCAUUUGAAACUGUAGCCCUUGAGUAUCGGAGAGGCAAGCGGAAUUCCUAGUGUAGCGGUGAAGUGCGUAGAUAUUAGGAGGAACACCAGUGGCGAAGGCGGCUUGCUGGACGACAACUGACGCUGAGGCGCGAAAGCGUGGGGAGCAAACAGGAUUAGAUACCCUGGUA